GACAUACUCCCCCGUUCUAAAAUUCUUAUCUUAAGUUUGUCUAGAUAUGAAUAUAUCUAGUCACAUUUUAGUAUUUAAAUACAUUUAUUUCUAGACAAAUUUAAGACAAAAUUUUUAGGACGGAGGAAGUAUUUA
rfam:Hordeum vulgare subsp. vulgare, WGS project CAJW01000000 data, contig: morex_contig_1568846